rnacentral:rRNA from 1 species
AGUGAACGCUGGCGGUAGGCCUAACACAUGCAAGUCGAACGGCAGCACAGUAAGAGCUUGCUCUUACGGGUGGCGAGUGGCGGACGGGUGAGGAAUACAUCGGAAUCUACUUUUUCGUGGGGGAUAACGUAGGGAAACUUACGCUAAUACCGCAUACGACCUACGGGUGAAAGCAGGGGAUCUUCGGACCUUGCGCGAUUGAAUGAGCCGAUGUCGGAUUAGCUAGUUGGCGGGGUAAAGGCCCACCAAGGCGACGAUCCGUAGCUGGUCUGAGAGGAGGAUCGGCCACACUGGAACUGAGACACGGUCCAGACUCCUACGGGAGGCAGCAGUGGGGAAUAUUGGACAAUGGGCGCAAGCCUGAUCCAGCCAUACCGCGUGGGUGAAGAAGGCCUUCGGGUUGUAAAGCCCUUUUGUUGGGAAAGAAAAGCAGCAGGUUAAUACCCCGCUGUUCUGACGGUACCCAAAGAAUAAGCACCGGCUAACUUCGUG